rnacentral:lncRNA from 1 species
AUCACGGCAGUGAUGGAUCAGCAAUUGCUUCAGAGCCGUGAGGUCCUUUAUCCCCUCCGGCAAGGAUUUGAUGCCCGGGCAGCAGUCGAUUCUGAGCUUUUGAAGAGAGGUGGUGAGGCGGCAGAUGGAUUGUGGAAGGCAAGUCAGCUCUGGCAAGUCUGUAAUCUCGAGUUUGCGUAGAGAGCAGAGUUCUCCGAGGCAGUCCGGCAACUGUUGAACUGCAUCGCAAUGUUUUAUCUCGAGCAACUGGAGGGAUGUGAGUUGACCCAUUGUUUUGGGGAGGCUGGUCAGGCUACGGCAGAAAUUGAUGGCCAACUCUUGCAGACACCGGAGUUCCCCUAGCGACUCGGGUAACUGGUGAAGUGCUUCGCAUGAUUGUAUUACGAGCUUCUGGAGGGAUGUGAGUUGACCCAUUGUUUGGGGGAGGCUGGUCAGUCUAUCGCAUGUUUCGAUGGCCAACUCUUGCAGAGACCGGAGUUCCCCUAGCGACUCGGGUAGCUCGCGGAUAUCAUCCCAGCCAUGCACCCUCAGGGAUCUCAGGGAUGUGAGGCUCCACAAGGUCGCAGGCACCUCGGUGUGCACUCCAGAGAAUCUAAAAAUCUGCAAUGACUCGAGUGCCGUCAUGUGGUGCAGCAGCUCCCACCCACCCAUUCCUGUCACUUUCCGUAGUUCAAACUCCUUCAGAUUGUUAAAACUGGGUGAGGAAGAAGGCCCCUGGCAUUGGCCUGGCAACUGCAGCAGCUGCUCACUUCCCUGCAACACUAAAUGCUGCAGUGACGGAGGAAGGUGCGGCAUCACCUCCAACUUAGGACAAUCCUCAAUCUUUAACUCUGUUAAGCGGCUACCAACUCGGACUUGUCCGAAAUGAGGUGUUAAAUUGUAGUUGUAGCAGCCUCCCUCAUUUUCUACAUCGGGCACGGUCCUCUCUGGUACCAUCCACACCCGUCCCAAACGAGGCAGUUUACACAUCUCCAACUUCACCAGUGAAGGAAAUGGGCCUCCACUUAUGCUCUCAACAGAAGGCAUACUUUGCAGCCAAAGCUCCUCCAAACAAGGUAGUUCGACAAGCCCAUCUAGAUGCUUCAAGUUUGGGAAAUCAAAUAGCUUCAUCACCCUCAAAAAUGGGAAGGGGGCAGGGCCCUGUACUCCACCACCAACUUGACUCUGCAUCCACCCUGCAUAUUGCCUACCUGAAUACCCAGAAAUGUGCAGCAUUUGAAUACCAGAUGGUGGUUCUAGGGCAUCAAGCACAUCUUGCUGCAACUCAGUGUUUACCUCUUCCAUGUUCUUCGACAUCCAAUUUAGUUCCAACCUCUGUAAGUUUAUCUUCUGUUUCAAGCAUGCCACAUGUGCAUCAUUCGUAUCCAUCACAUGUUGAAUAUCUAUGAUUGUUAGUUCCUCACCCAACCUAGAUACAUUUGCAAGCUCAGAUAUUCGAGCAAACUUUUCUCCCUUACCAAUACAAAAUAAGCCCAACUUUUGAAGUCGACUGAGCUGUCCAAUACCUACAGGCAUUCCUCCCAAUUUUGUACAACCUUUUAGGUUCAAAACUUGAAGCUUAUCCAAGUUGCCGAUGCCUUCAGGUAGCUCUACUAGCCAACUACAUUUAUGAAGGUCCAAACACUCCAGAUUUUCCAGUUUUGUCAUACUUGAUGGUAGCCUCUGAACGUUGGUGAAACCUAGUCUCAACAAUCUUAGCAUUUUGUUUCUGCAGAUGGAAUCUGGCAAGCAUUUCAGCUCUCUACACCCUGACAGGUUCAAUGUUCUUAACAUCUGCAACUUACCAAUUGAGUCUGGCAACAUCAUAAGCUGAAUGCAAGCGCAAAGAUCAAUACUUGAAAUCAUAUGGCAAUCACCAAUAGAAUCUGGCAAGCAUUUCAGCUCUCUACACCAUGACAGGUUCAAUGUUCUUAACAUCUGCAACUUACCAAUUGAGUCUGGCAACACUGUAAGCUGAAUGCAAUAGUAAAGAUCAAUACUUGAAAUCAUAUGACAAUCACCAAUAGAAUCUGGCAAACACUUUAGAUUCAUACAUCUCGAUAACUUUAUUGUUCUUAACAUUCUCAUCUUACAAAUUGAUUUUGGUAUCUCGACAAGUGAAAAGCUGAGUUCUACAAGAAGUGCUUGCAGGCUCCAAACAUCUGACAUAGUCUCAGGAAGUGUUUCACAAUCUAGUUCUGAAACGGCAAGAUAUUUGAGAUAUUUAACUUGAGACAUGGUGUUAGCUCCUUCUGCAUUGAGAUAUCCCACCGUAACACUACGCAAGUGCUUUGCAUGCUUCAGUGCCAUGGCAUAUAUGUAAUCUUCAUACUUAGGCAUAUAUACAGCACGUGCUUUUCUAAAAAAAAUUUUAGGUGCCAUAUGUUCUGUCUGUUUAAUCAAAGAAAAAUAUCUAUAGCUCUUUGUGGUACUGCUGCUUGCCUCAUUUGGCAUGUCAAGCGAAAUUUCAUCACCCAAGAUGGACAAGGCAAGAUCAUGAACCAAAUCAUGCAUCCAACAUGUCACUCUCCCAUCUUGUUCUUUGACAUUUUGUAGGAAUGACGCUUGCACAAGAGAAUUAAAGUGCUUGUGUCCAACAUCCAAGUAGCCAAUACCAUUCUCUAGAAUGAUCAUAUCAUGAGCAAUCCAUAGGUCAAUCAGUUGUUGUUUAUCAAUCUUAUGACCUUUGGGAAACACUGAACAUAUUGUAAAGCACUGUUUGAGAUUAGAUGGCAGAUGGAAAUAGCUUAACCUUAAGCAUGCAGCCACUCUAUCUUCUCUACCAUUAAAAUUUGAUAAGUUUUUGUCUCUCAUGGCCUGCCACUCCUCUAUCAGAUCCUUGCCAUGGAGAGAACCUGCAAGAACUUUAAUUGCUAGAGGCACCCCACCACAUUUGUCCACAAUCGCCUUCCCAACCUCUUCAAAUUCAAAAUUCCAACCUGUAGCAGGUGUUACCAAACUUUGUUGGAAUAGUUGCCAGCUGUCAUCUGGAGAUAAGAAUGGCAAGUGAAAUUGGUCGGUGGAUCCCACUAUUACCGCAACUUCUGUAUUUCGAGUAGUAAGUAAAAUCCUGCUUUGAGGUGCACCCACCUUUAUAUAUACCAUGAAUUCUUCCCACUCAUCUCGUGAGUUAGUCCAAACAUCAUCCAAUACAAGAAGAAACUUUUUUCCAUUCAACUUGUCUGAGAUUGUUUUGGUCAUAUAAGGCAAGGCAUGUGGUCCUGGAUUAUUUUCAGAAAAAGCUUCAAACACUUUUUUGAUGAGAUCUUUGACAUCAAAUUCUUGUGACACAUGAACCCAUAGUCUAACUUCAAAAUGUUUCUCUAUAAUGUUACCAUCAUUGAAAACCAGUUUAGCCAAGGUAGUCUUCCCUGAUCCGCCAAGCCCAAUGACAGAAACUAUCUUAAUUUUCUGUAGAUCAUCAUUCGCUUCAAGCAUGGAUAUUAUCUUCUGCUUAUCUUUAUCUCUUCCAACUACUAAUUCCUCAUCAACGUUGGACAAUGAUAGCACCUCCUUUGUUUUCAUGUUUGUAUGUCGAACUGGAGGAUCCACUGAUAAACUAUUCUUUAUUGCAAUGUAUUCAGUUCUUUGCUUCACAAUUGCAGCAAAUCUCUUCUUAAUUGCCUUGAUCUUGUUGGCUGCCUUGCAUUGAAAUACAAAUGAUUUUGGUAUUGUGCAAAGAUAAUUGGACACAAUGCCACCAUCACUAUUGGAGUCAUGUUUUUCAGCCUUUAGCUGGAACUCAUCAACAACAUCAUCAACAUCAUAAGAAAUAUCUUUCAACUUUUUGAGCCAAGAAAAUGAUUGUUUACUUCCAACAGAAUUGUCUGUUGUUGUUUCCAGCCAAAAGUUGAUCUCCGCAACAAGAUCAUGGAGCUCCUGGAGAUCUUCCUUAACACCCACUAUAGAGCUGUACUCUUUGAUUAGCAGUGGAGCUAAUUUGUUGACCACAAUCUUCAAGGUUCCGGAUACUACAGCAGAAAUGGCAGCAGCUUCUACACCUGUCAUUUUUCUUAAAGAUUCUCCCGUCCCAGAGAUUUCCUGCAAAAAUGAAUUCACAGUGAGCUGCCAGCCUGCCAAUCAAGAAGGCAGAAUAUAUAAAAAAAAGUUGUACCAAAAUAUGGCUCUAUAUGCAUGGUGCAACUAAUCAUUCCUAUUGUGCUUUCAUGUGUAAUAGUGUUUUUUGUUUGCUGCACUAACGCGUGAACAAUACCGACAACAAUUUGAGAAAAGAUUUCAUUCAAAUAAUAAUCUGGUAGAAGUGCAGAAAACUGUAGUUGAUAUAUUUAAGAUGUCUGACCUUGGUAAACAGGGGCUCAAGUACACAUCCUGCCUUUUGAUCUUCACGUUAUUGAAGUGCUUCUUUGCAAAUAAUGUACUCCCUCUGUUCCAAACUAUAAGAAGCGUCAUCUAUGUCAGGAAAUCAAAGAGUACGGGAUACAAAGUACUCCACCGUUUCAAAUUAUAAGACGUAUUUAUAAGACAGAUAAUCUUAGAUAUAUACUAUGACAAAUAAUCUUAGAUAUAUACUAUGACAAAACGUCUUAUAAUCUAUGUCAAAGAGCUUACUAAGUUUUUAGACAUAGUAUAUAUCUAAGUAUAUAGCAAAUCUAUGUAUCUAAAAAAGCCAGAACACAUAUUAUAAUUAGGAAUGGAGUACAUGAAAAUGAACUAUUUAACCACGGCCUCUAGAACUGAACAUAGCGGUACUGUGUCCAGAUGAUCUAUGAGUCUGUGAGUUUUAUGACUGAUGAGUGUUCCAGUAUUAAGUACCUUAAGAGUAUACAAAAAGGCCUAUAAUGUGCUAAGAAAGGUAUAGGCAUCAGAGAUGAGAUGAAGAUCAUAGACUGGAGCAAGAACCAUAAUAAAAUAGGAUGCUACAUUAUUUGUCAGAAAUAAACUAAAUACCUGGAGCUAAGGGAUGUGCUGCCGUUGCUUGUUCAAUCUCCAAAUAUGAUCUUCCUUUUCUCCUCUACAGACCAGACAUCCGAAUCUGUGUUGCACAGUGCAGGCUUGAGCCUAGAUCUUGAUGGCCAGUGAUGAGCACUUGGGAUCUGGUUGCUUGUGAUGCUUCGUUGCCAACUAAUCAACUGUUAGAUACAAGGACACAAUGUAGAGCAGGAAUGCUAGACUCCGACUAUCUCUCUACGCCGAUGAUGCUGUUAUCUUCAUCAACCCAAUCAGGGAGGAGGUCACAGCGCUGUUUGAAAUCCUCGAGCAGUUUGGAGCGACAACCGGCCUAAAGCUAAAUAUUGGAAAAUGCACAGUAGCCCCUAUCAGAUGUGCUGAGAUCAACCUAGAUCAUGUUCUUGAGGGUUAUAGAGGAAAUAAAACAAACUUUCCAAUCACAUACCUGGGUCUACCAUUGUCCUUAGGUAGGCUGAAGGUUGUGCACCUGCAAAAGAUUGUUGAUAAAUCAAGAUCUCGGUUAGCUGCGUGGCAAGGAAGACUAAUGAACCCGGCGGACAGGCGAGAAUUGGUACGCUCUGUGCUUAGCUCCAUGCCUGUAUACCUAAUGACUACUCUCAAGGCGCCAAAGCAGCUGAUUGCGGACAUUGAUCAAAUGAGGCGUCGCUUCCUUUGGGCGGGAGAUAAUGAGAUUUCAGGAGGCAAAUGCAAAGUGGCUUGGACAGCUGUGGCCAAGCCGGAGGAGUUUGGUGGAUUGGGCAUUAUUGAUUUAGAUAAAUUCAGCAGGGCACUGCGCCUUAGAUGGCUUUGGUUCCAGUGGACUAAACCAGAAAGACCAUGGAAUGGGUCUGAACUACCAGUGAAUGCUGAUGAUGUGGCGCUCUUCAAUGCAGCUACAACUGUCACCGUUCGAGAUGGAAGGAAGGCCUCCUUCUGGCACUCUAGUUGGAUCGAAGGGAGAGCACCGGCCAGUCUGUGGCCGCGGCUGUACGCCCACAGCAGGAAAAAGAAUAGGACAGUCAGAGAAGCAUUGUUGAAUAGAAGAUGGGUGAGUGAUAUUGCACACAAUCUGAAUCAGGAUCUGCUUAAGGAAUAUUUUGAGUUCUGGUUGGCUAUCGACCGUGUCAGGCCAGCUCUAGAUGAGGCAGGUGGAGACAUAAUUAUCUGGGGCCUUGAAAGUUCAGGUCAAUACUCCAGCAAAUCGGCAUACAUGAUUCAGUUUGCUGGCCAAAGUCCAAUCCCCUUUCCCAGCCUUAAUCUGGAAAGCCUGGGCACCGCCAAAGUGCAAAUUCUUCUUAUGGCUGCUGCUAAAAAACAGGCUAUGGACCUCAGCACGUCUGCAACAGCGUCAUUGGAAGAAUAACUACUUCUGCGCACUAUGUGAAAGAAACCUGGAGACAGCACACCACUUAUUCUUUGAAUACCCCUACUCUCGACUAGUUUGGCAAGCUGUAUCGAGUUCAUGCCCUAGCUUGCAGCCGGCUUCAUGGGAAGACAGGAGCCGCCUCGAGGACUGUUUCAGCCAAACCUUGACAACAGGGGAGAAGAAGGCGCAUACAUUGGCAAUCCUAACUCUAUGGAGCAUUUGGAACCGACGAAAUGCAGUUGUUUUCAGGGAAGAUCGAAAGACGACCAUUUCACUAGUGGUGGAGAUUAAGGACAUGGCUCGCCAAUGGUCGUUGGCAGGAUGCAAAGCUCUUAGGCCUCUUAUGGUUGCACAUGUAAUUAGUGAGUAAUUAGCUAAGAACAAAAGCCCCACGCGGUCUAGGCUGCGUGGGGGAGCGCUGCUCGCGCUUGUAACCCGAUGUUUCCUGCUUCUCCUCUUAUUAUUAAUCAAAGCCGGUAAAACCGGAUCUUUAAAAAAAAAUGUAGAGCAGAAAGGUAGGCGUCAGAGAUGAAUGAAAGAGAUCUUGGAUGAAUUUGACCGGAGCAAGAAAUGGGAUGCUAUGUUGCACACCAGAGCUCAGGGAUCGGAAGCUAGCCUUUGAUAGUGCCGCCUCCCAAAUAGAACCUUCGAUUCCUUUGCUCCUUUGCUAUGUUGCACACCAAAACUUCUGGGAACUGGGAUUGCCUUAGCUAACUUGUGACAGCUUCCUUGUGAAGCUAAGCCUAAGCUAUCAGCUGCUGGCGGCUCAUGUAGUCAUGCCACAAGAUGGAGGGGCUCAUCAACAAGCAAAGAGAGGAACCAUCCGGGAAGAUGCCACGGAGUUGUGCUGCGCGUACCGUGGAGACCAGCGAGCCAAGAUUCCGAGGCCUUGUUUAGAUCCAAAUUCUUUUUUAUUUUGAGACUGUAGCAUUUUCAUCUGUAUUUGACAAACAUUAUCUAAUUAUAGACUAAUUAGAUUUAAAAGAUUCGUCUCACGGUUUAUAUGUAAAUUGUUAAUAAUUUUUUUAUCUAUAUUUAAUGCUCAAUGCAUGUGUCACAAGAUUUGAUGUGACGAAGAAUCUUAUAAACUUUUGGGUUUUUUGAGCGCAUCUAAACAAGACCUUUAUUUAGUUAGACGUUAAGGCCUUGUUUACUUAGCAAAAUUUUUUGGCUUUGGCUACUAUAACACUUUUGUUUAUAUUUGACAAUUAUUGAAUAACUAGACUCAAAAAAUUCGUCUUGAAAAUUCAAUUAGUUAUUUUUUAUCUAUAUUUAAUGCUCCAUGUAUGUGCCACAAGGAGUCUGUUUGCUUGUCUAUAAAGUCAUGACUAAAAGUAAUGUUCGUUGAUGUAUUAGGAGAGAAAGACGCUGCUGACUGGUGUGACGAAAAAUCUUGAAAACUUUGGAAAUCUUUUUAAGAACUAAACAGCCCCUAAAGCAACAACCAGGAUCGCUGCUUUCGAUGACUCGAGGUCCCCAGUUCCCACUAGUGGCACAUUUCAUCGAACGGGCCGCGCCCCAGGCUUAGUUAAUCCUUCACCAGCAGCAUAAGUAUGAUGUCGUCUUGGAGUUUAGGCAUCAUUGCAUUGGAUGCUUAUUGGAUGGAAAGGCGCACUAGCUAAGAACCUAAAAUAAUGCGUGCUGAACUGGAAGUGUCAGUCGGCGUUGAUGAUGGUUCAACCGUACCCAAACUUUGGUUACAUACAAAAUCAUGUACGGAGGCAGCCUCCAAAGUGAAAAAUAUAACCCAUGCGAGGCCGUAUCGAUCACUACAUUCCAUGGUGUGGAGAAAUAAAAAUAAUCCAUAUUCACCUGUGUUCAAUGCUCACUGCUUGCCUUCACUUGGGGACGCGUGUAACUUACAGGAAUGUCUGUUUCUUGUAUUCUAGGAAAGUAGUUUGCACAUGUACAUGAUUAAAUAUAUGAAAUUAACUACUAAUAAUGUUUAUAAUACAUAAUAUCAUUAAUUAGAUAGAUUCAUUAAUUUUAUGAUAAAUUUAUUCAGAGAUACAAGUGUUGCAAAUAUUUUUUUUUAAACUUAGUCAAACUUAGCGCAAUUCAUACGGUAUCACUUAAAUAAGGGAUGGAGGGAAAUGGCGACAAAUAUUGUUGGAAUUGCCUACUACGUCGGAGGGAAAAUUUGUUGUGGUUACAUACAAAAUCCUAUGAGAUUUCAAAGCAGCCCCCAAAGUGCAAGCAUAUAUAGAGUAUAUGACCCAUGCCAUGCCAGCCGUAUCACUACGUCAAUUCCACGGUCUGUUUCUUGUAUUCACAUGCAUGCUCGCGACAUACCUACUCCCACUACCCCAGUUGUAUUGGUAUCUGUUGCAAAGGUUUUGCUGUUGUACGCGUUGCAGUAGUACUAGGUAGCGUGCCCGUGCGUUGCUACGGGUUAGUAAACAAAUACACAGAUCGCACAAUAAGUAUAUAUUUCUGUAAAAUUUAAGUAUCAAUAUUAAAAUAACAUUAAAUACAAACCACAAAGUUUUAUGAAAUUAACAUCGUCAUGGAGAGCAGCCAUCGCAGACUCACAAACUCUACUUAAUAGAUUAGGUGAUGCAUCAGUAAUGUCAAUCAUGCCACUUUGAUCUAUACAUAUACUGAAGUAAUCAUCUACAUAUAUAUAAUAAAAUGGUAUGAACCUUGUCAUCGACAUCAUACAAGCAUAAGAAAAUAAAAUUAGUAGAAGGAAAAAAAACUGAAUCGAUACAUGUGUUAUCAUUAUCAAUCAUCAUGUGUGAGCUGUCUCGAUGUAGCAAAUCACUAUCUUCACAGGCAUCAAUGUUUUCCAUGGUUGAUUCAACUCCAACUGGUCUAUAUAUACAUCACUAUAUAUUAAAUAAACUUAAAAAUGGAAAUAUUGUAUUCAUAAAAAAGGAUUACAUGAUGAUAUCGUUCACGACAUUUUAAAUUUUUUCCAAUCUGUUCUUGAUGAUACUUUUCUCUAAGUUUUUUUUUCAUCCCUUUCCUCUUCGAGUCAUCAAUGCAUGCCGUGUUUUUUUCUCUUUCCUUUUUAUGAUGUACACGUUCAUCAAGUUAUGCUCAUGAAUUUGAUGUUGAUUGGCCAUCUCUUUGAAAAUAAGUUGAAAAUAACUUAUUGACCACAAAUAAGUUGGAAGCAUCUAUGGACAUCAGUAUAAACAAUUACCACCAUUGAUGGUGUUUGUCAAGUCUUCAAAUGGUGUACGACAUUCACUAUCUUGCAUAGGUUCCAUUAUAAUCAAACUGAACACAUAAUUAAAAUUUAAGUAUGAAUAUUAAAGAACAUGAUAAUUAUUUAUACACACAAUUAAACUGAACACACAAUUAAUAUUAAAGAUACAUGUGGUUCCUCUCUAUUACCGGUCGCAUUUGAAGUCACAAAUGAGAGGACAUUUAAGUAUCAAUAUCAAUAUUAAUUGUGGUUCCCCUCUAUCACUGGUCGUAUUUGUUCACACAUAAAUAGAUCAAAAUAUAAAAUGUCUAAUGCAAUGGUGUCAAAAGAAAACUCGGCUAACUGAUAAAUAAAGGAACACAUGUAUCUUUCAUCUAUUAAUGAAUACAAGCUAAUUUAUCAUGAUAGAACUUGGGAUGCAUCAAGGUAACAAAUCUUUUACUCAGAAAAUGAUGGACUGUGAAUAUCAAACUAAGGACACUGUGCACUAUCAGUUUAGAAACAAACUAAUUUCGCCUGCGAGCUUGCAGUAGUAGCAUUCAGGCUCAGUAUUUGCAGGUGUUGUCCUAAAAUAACAUUGAAAGCAACUUGACUGUCCUAAAUACGCUGAAAAUAUCAUGAAUAAACCAGAAAGCAUCAUAUGGUGAAAAUAACAUGAAUAGCAACUUGACUGUCCUAAAAUACAAACCAUCGUGUUGCUCACUGCAGACAGGAAAAUUCAGGUUCAGAUCAAUAAGAAAUUGCAGGUGUUGUCACAACACUUUCUAUCCAGCAUUCAGAAGCGCAUGAUUCACACACAAAAUAGGAGCAAUAAUCUAGUAGUAACAAGUCAAUACCAAUUUUAAACUGCUGCAUCCUCUCCGGCAUGAGAACCAAGUAACAAAGCAUAGAUUUUUCCGAACAAAUAUGCAGAGACACAGAAAAGGAGAGGGGAGCAAGGGAAGGACAUUGACCAGUUCCAAAGGCCGGUGUAAGAGACUAUGGCGUUGUGUGCAGCUUGGCGAGGUCGUCCAGAGGCGGUUCCUUAGCCUACAUGAAUUGACAAACAUAGGCCAUCACAAAUUAGAAAAAGACCAAUAACUGAACCUGAAAUGUGCGGCGGUUCCUUAGCAAUCUCCCAAUGAAAAACCUUUUACUCAGAAAUAUGGAGUUAUGGACACACAGAAAUUGUGAAGCAACAGUGACGCAACCUCCAGAAAAAAGAACAAUCGUUUGAAGCAAGACAUGUGUACCGAAGAAUUUCUGAAAAUAUCAUGAACAAACCAAGAAGCAGCAUAUGUUGAAAAUAACAUGAAUAUGACUGUCCUAAAAUACAAGCCAUCGUGUUGCUCACUGCAGACAGAAAAAUUCAGGUUCAGAUCAAUAAGAAAUUGCAGGUGCUGUCACAACACUUUCUAUCCAGCAUUCAGAAGCGCAUGAUUCACACACAAAACAGGAGCAAUAAUCUAGUAGUAACAAGUCAAUACCAAUUUUAAACUACUGCAUCCUCUCCGGCAUGAGAACCAAGUAACAAAGCAUAGAUUUUUCUGAACAAAUAUGCAGAGACACGGGAAAGGAGAGGGGAGCAAAGGAAGGACAUUGACCAGUUCCAAAGGCCGGUGUAAGAGACUAUGGCUUGCCUGCAGCUCAGCGAGGUCGUCCAGAGGCGGUUCCUUAGCCUACAUGAAUUGAGAAACAUAUGCCAUCACAAAUUAGAAAAAGACCAAUCACUGAACCUGAAAUGUGCGGCGGUUCCUUAGCAGUCUCCCAUGAAAAACCUUUUACUCAGAAAUAUAGAGUUAUGGACACACAGAAAUUGUGAAGCAAUAGUGACGCAACCUCCGGACAGAAGAACAAUCGUUUGAAGCAAGACAUGUGUACCGAAGAAUUUCUGAAAAUAUCAUGAAUAAACCAGGAAGCACCAUAUGGUGAAAAUAACAUGAAUAUGACUGUCCUAAAAUACAAGUCAUCGUGUUGCUCACUGUAGACAGAAAAAUUCAGGUUCAGAUCAAUAAGAAAUUGCAGGUGCUGUCACAACACUUUCUAUCCAGCAUUCAGAAGCACAUGAUUCACACAUAAAACAGGAGCAAUAAUCUAGUAGUAACAAGUCAAUACCAAUUUAAAACUACUGCAUCCUCUCCGGCAUGAGAACCAAGUAACAAAGCAUAGAUUUUCUGAACAAAUAUGCAGUGACAAAGGAAAGGAGAGGGAGCAAGGGAAGGACAUUGACCAGCAUAGAUUUUCUUUUGAGCCUAGUUAAUCCAUGAUUGGACAAUAAUUACCAAAUACAAACAAAAGUUCUAUAGUAGCCAAAUCCAAAAAAAAAAUUUGGAUCUAAACAAAGCCUAAGUCUAUGCUUGGAUUCUCAUCCGGAACAAAAUUCUGACGGCUUAUAACCUAGCGCCAAGAGGUUGGCAUCAUCAAAGUUGCUGCACACUCUGCAGCGGUCAGAUGAAACUGGAUCCCACAUGUGCUUACAUUGCCCCUUUGCUCAUGCUGUGUGGAACCAGGUCCUCACCUGGGAGCAUUUCGACAGCCAACAGCUAAUGAACUCCUCAAGUAUAAAUUAAUUCUGUAACAAUUGGUGGAGACUGGUGCUGCGCACAACUUACGUUUUGCCUUUCCUUUCCCACCCUGUGUGAUGCAUCCACGCUCAACUGCUAGGCAGCAUCUGGGGCUGUGUGUUUGAGAUUGUUGUUGCUUAACUCUUGUACAUAACUAAACUCCCUUUUUCAUUUGUGCUAAAGAAAAAAAUCAACAACCGCCGAUUCAUAUACCAAACAUGAAUGAAUUCAACCUCAGGGACUACCGAGAAAAAACUUAUACAGCAAGCCACGAUUCAGAUACCAAACGUGAAGUCAGCCAGAGGUCCCCUCCGGCCAGCCCAGGUUAACCCCCCACCUACCCCACGCCAUCGCCCCGCCCCCAACUCCCUGCUCUCCGGGGAGUGGGUAACAAACCCAAGUCGGCUCCAUCAGCGCGGAAGAUCACGGCAUAUCCCUCUCUUCGUCCCGCGGUAAAGGUGUAAGGCUCCGAUCUAGGGUUCCCUUCGUCGUUCUAGGUACUCGAUUAUUUCCUCCUGGCGUGUGGUUGGGAUUGAGAGGAAGAUGGCGACGGCGGGAGAGACUUACUGAUAGUGGAAACUUGCGACUUGACUGGGGUAGAAGAACGCCCUUGCUGUCGCUUCCUGCCUUUUUGCGGACGGAGCUGUCGCGGACGCGCGGACGUCGCUCCAAGACAGAGCUGUCGCGGACGGUGCGUACGACGCUCGAGGACGGCGCUCACGAGGAGGUCGCGGGCGGCGCUCGACGACGGCGCUCAACGGAGCUGUCGCGGAUGGUGCGGACGGCGCUCGCGCGGACGGCAGCGAACGCGGGCGGCGUUCGAGGACGGGGCUCGCGCGGACGGAUGAGCGGGGCCUCUUGCGCCGAGGAGCCGGAUCCGGGAGUGGGCGAUGCGGAGGAUACGGGACCGGGGCGCCGCGGAGGAUGAGGGGGGGCUCUGCGUCGAGGAUCUGAGCGGGGCGCCGAGGAGACGGAAGUGGGAGGGGGCGCCGCGAAGGAUGGAAGGGGAGCGGGGCGCCCCAAUUUUUUACAAUUUGGUCCUUUUUUUGAAAAAAGUUCACAAUUAGACCCCUGGAAAACUUAAGUGCAGAAAUGGACCCAGGGCUCGGCGCCAUGCAUCAUGGCGUCGAGGUAUCACGUCUCGGCGCCAUGGAUCACGGCGCCGAGCUCCUUGGGCCAAGCCAGCGUGGAUUUUGCGUGGCGGCUUGUGUGGCAAAAAAAAAAAAAAAAAAAAAAAAAACAAGUCGGCGCCAGAGAUCACGGCGCCGAGCUCGGCGCCACGGAUCUCGGCGCCGAGCUCGGCGCCACAGAUCUCGGCGCCGAGGUCCUUUCCAAAACGGCCGACCUCUUUCUCUUUGCUUCCUCUCUCCUCGCGCAGCGCUCUGCUCCUGCUCCCGCCCAACUCGCCUCGCCGCGCGCCCCGCGCUGCUCCUCCUCCGCCGCGCGCCUCGCCGCGCUCGCCGCGCGCCUCGCCGCGCCCCUCGCCGCGCGCCGCGCGUGCCUCGCCGCGCGCCUCGCCGCGCUCGCCGCGCGCCGCGCGUGCCUCGCCACGCCGCGCACCGCCGCGCUCGCCGCAGCUCGCCACGCCGCGCUCGCCGCAGCUCGCCACGCCGCCCCGCGCACCGCGUGGCCCGCGGCGCCUCCUCAACCGCGGCUUGGCCGGCUCGUGCCGUGGUCCUGUGCGGCCGCCGGCGGGCGGGCAGCCGGCGCCCACCCGAGGUAAAUUUUUUUUUAAUUUUCAGUUUGUAGUUGGCAUUUUUUUAUUAUUUAGGUUGUUUUGUAAUGUUUAAUUUAGUUAUCAGUUAAUAAUAAUUUAGUUAGUUAUUAGUUUUAUUAGUUUUAUAAUUUAGUUAUCACUAAAUAAUAAUUUAGUUAGUUAUUAGUUUUAUUAGUGUUAUAAUUUAGUUAGGUAUUUCAUCUAGCAAUUUUUUAGUUAGUAAAGUUUUGGUGUCAAUUAAGUUAGAUAGGUAGUACUUGUAAUAAACGUAGUUACCAAAGAUACUUAGGAUAUGUAAUAAUAUUAUGUAUUUUCAUGUCGUAUGUUCUUAUUAACAUAGUUAUGUAGUUAGCAAAUUUAGUUAUAUAGUUGGGUAGGUAGAUUAUUAUUAAAAUAGAUACACAUAUACAUAAUAAUUCGUAUGUGUACUAUAGUUGUAGUUGUAUUAGUUAUAUGCCUAGUAACAUGGUUGUUUUGUGUAUCAAUUAGAUGGACAAUUUAGUAACCUUAUAUCAUGGAGGAAGUGUGGAGAAAGAUCAGUUUGGCAAUGUUGAUUUUGUUGGAAUGGAAACGGUCCCUUUGAUGUUUGAUGAGCGGCCCUUGUUUUCUGAAUUGAUGGGUAGUGCUCGUGAUGAGCUUAAAUGUAAUUCGAAUGAAGAAGAAAUCUUAGUUGAGGGGGUCAUUCACCAUGGCGGGUCAGGAACAAUUUUUAGGCGGUUGGUCCCAAUUGUAUCCGAGGUUCAAUGGGACAAAUAUGUCAAAACUGUCAUGAAGAGUGAGUUUAAAUGUUUGGAUUUGGUUGUGCGCAACUUGUCCAAGGAGCCAGGCCCUCUAGUGGAUUCUCCUCUUAAUUGGCAACCACCCAUUGGCCCUCUAGUGGACAAUCCGGCACCCUCAGCUUCUCUGAUACCCAUUCAGAACGUGGGUGUGGAAGAUGUGGUUGCCGUUCCUGAUGCUCAAUCCGGUCCCAAUGAGGUUGGCUGCGUACAUACCCCUAUGACCCAGACAAUUCCAUGUAAGUGGCGUAGUUGCAUUAUUCAUUUUGUUAGCAUUCCUUCGUUCGAUUUAGUUGUCUCAAUUGUAUGCAUAUUUGUGGUUUUGUUGUAGGUGACAAUCCAAGUAAUGAUUGUUGUCAUCCUGUGCCUCCAACAUUUAAUGUUGACGCAGCUUUUAUAGCAUCUAAUAGUUUGGAUGUUAAUAUUGAGGAUGAUGAGGAGCCCUAUGGCACAGCUAGAGCUGUUGAUUCCGAUGAUGACCGGCCAGUUGCACCUUUAAGUGAACAAGAAAUGGAGCUUAUCAGACGUUUUUGUCCUGAUCGUGAUCCACUAGUUCACGAGUUUAGUGACCUCAGUCAUUCUCAAAAUGCUUAUGCAGAGGGAAGAGAUGAUGAGCUGCUGGAGGCUCCUGAGCCUGGUGAGAGUGUGCAAAUUCAGAAGGGCAUGAUCUUUAAUGAUUUGCCCAGCUUAAGAAGGUGGUUGCAACAAUAUUCUGUAAUACGUAAAAGACCCUUCAAGGUGAUGCACUCUCAUGUUGAGCGCCGCUACACGGUUGUGUGUGAGAUGUCAGAUUGCAACUGGAGGGUCUGUGCUCGUAAACAGAAGGCCACCGGGAAGUUUAAGAUCACAAAAAUUGUAGGUCCACACACUUGUGCCCAGACUGACCUUCAACAGAAGCAUCGACAGUUGACCUCUACACUUAUUGCUAGUACGUUAUGCACAACUUUAAAGGGUCAGCCCAACUUGAAGGUCAGAACAAUUAUGGACAUGGCUCAGAAGAUAUUUAAAUAUGACAUAAAGUAUGGCAAAGCAUGGAGGGCAAAGCAAAGGGCCUGGAAGAUGAUAUAUGGGGACUGGGAGGAGGGGUACGAGCAGCUGCCAGCAAUGUUCAAUGCAAUGAAAGCAGCUAAUCCAGGCAUGCAUUACGAGUACAUUCCGAAGCCUAAUGAAUGGAGGAAUGGGAGGCAGAUAUUCUUUCGUGCAUUCUGGUGUUUUCCACAGUGUGUCCAGGCCUUUAGGCACUGCCGUCCAGUGUUAUCAAUUGAUGGUACUUUUCUGCUUGGCAAGUACAUGGGCACUCUUUUGGUAGCCAUUUCCUGUGACGCUGACAACGCAUUGGUUCCUUUGGCUUUUGCUUUGGUGGAGAGAGAGAACAAAGACAGCUGGGGUUGGUUCAUGCGCCUAGUUCGUAUACAUGUCAUUGGCCCACAUAGGGAGGUUGGUGUCAUAUCUGAUAGGCACCAGGGCAUACUCAGUGCCGUACAGGAGCAGAUUCCUGGUUAUGCACCUUUGCACCAUCGUUGGUGUACUAGACACCUUGCAGAGAAUUUACUUCGGAAAGAUGGUACGAAGGACAACUUUCCUCUAUUCGAGGAGGUUGCUCGAAUGCUUGAGGUGCCGUUUUUUGAGGAGAAGUUGGAGCAGUUAAAAACCGCAACAAAUGCAGAAGGUAGGCAGUGGCUGCUAGGUUUGAUGAGGGAACCUGAGAAAUGGACAAGAGCCCAUGAUAAUGGUGGAUGGAGGUACGAGUUUCAGACUAGCAACAUGGCAGAGUCAUUUAACAGUGUGCUCAAGGGUAUACGUGCCAUGCCAGUCAAUGCCAUUGUAUCUUUUACCUUUUAUAGACUAGUGGCCUGGUUCAACGAUAGACAUGCUCAAGCAUUGCAAUUACAGAGUAAUAAUAUGAAAUGGGCACCUAGAGCUAAGAAGCACCUUGACAAGGCAAAGGAAAGGGCUAGAACACAUGACAUUGAGUGUUUUGACCAUGCCACUGGCAAGUACCAGGUCACUGAAAGGGGUGGUACAACGUCAGAUGGUGAGAUCCGACCAUCAAGGAGUUAUAUUGUUGUCCUGACUGAUUUUUCAUGUGGAUGUGGGAGACCAAGACAGUACCACUCUCCUUGUUCUCACUAUAUUGCAGCAGCUAGGCAUCGCAACUUUGACUACGAGACCAAGAUACCAUGGGAGUUGAGUGUUGAUAGCCUUGUGCUAACUUGGUCGCCCCGUUUUGAGCCUUUCCUAGAUGAGGGGCAGUGGCCAGAAUACAUUGGCCCAAGGUACAUUGCAGAUCCAGGUGCUCGCUGGAACAAACGUGGAACCAGAAAGCGUACGAGGCAUAAGAUGGUCAUGGACCAGAUUUCAGGUAGAACGAGGCGAGGGAGAGCAACCCCGUUUGUUACUGACCCCGAGCAAAAUCAAUGUGGCAAAUGUGGUAGACUUGGACACAACUCGCGUACUUGCCAUUGGCCGCUAAGUCAGGUGCACUUAAUAUUCUAUGUACUUUAGUUGUUAAAUACUUUCAUAUGCAACUUACUUUUUGGCAGACAUACAUGUUCUAGUGCUCCUUUGUUUAAUAUAAUGACAUUGUAAUGUAUUAUUUUUUUCUGCUUAAUUACUAACUAAUGGAUCAAAUUUGUUUAUAGGAUGGAGCAGUUCCACCUCCUGGAUCCAUACUACGAGGUGAAGCACCGAGGACGACUCACUGCCGAGGGGGCGGUACUAGUGCUGCGAUGAAUGUGCAUGUGCCACAGGAACGACAAUGCAACACACCUGUUGUGCAUGGUACAUCUUCUUUGGGAGGUAUAAUUUUAUUAAAUUUGUUGUUUAUUUGAACUGAGCAAUUUACAUGGUAUGAGAUAAUGAAUUAAGUGCACACAUAAUUUGAACAAUGUUUAUAGGAUCUGGAGGACAGAGCUCGUCUCGGCCAACUAUGGACACUUUUCAAAGCGAUGAUGAUGAGGACGAAGAGGGGGUGGCCGAGGAGCGUGACUAUGACGAGCUUGGGUUAUCUCAGCUUCCUGAUGCUCCUUCUACUCAGCCUACGCAGGUUGCAAGAAGGCGACGUCGUUCGCCUUCUAGGUACACUCCAGGCACCGAUGCUCUUGGCCACAAGGGUAAGGGUAAGACUAGGAGGCAGUGAGGAUGACUUCUAUGCUAACACCAUGGUAGCAACUUACAAUUUAUGGCAUAACUUCUGUUAUUUUGCAUGUAUCGACACUGUGAACUUUGUGGACUAUUUGUACUAUAUGAGACUGUAUGGUCUCUGUGGACUAUCUGAACUAUCAUUCCUGAUGGCAUACGUGCUUGUGUUGUGAUAUUUGGAUGAAUCAAUGUUCCUAUUGUACUGUGAUGUCUAUUUAUAACUGUGGAUGUACCAAAAACAGGGGAAACUCUUGCAAAUUUUUUCCAUGAAUCUAUCAAUGUAGUGCACAUAUUCUGUGGUCCAUUCCUAUUGGUUUUGGCAGUGUAGGCUUUUCAGAAACAGUGAACCAAUAUGGCUUUUCAUUGAAUCAUCACAUCCGAAACAGUGAACGAAUCUAAAUAGACUUUUCAGUUUUCAACUAGCCUUUUCAGUAAUCGAAUCUAGGCUUUUCAAAUGACAAUCCAAAUAGACUUUUCAGUUUUCAACUAGGCUUUUCAUUAAUCGAAUCUAGGCUUUUCAGGUGCAUUUAUUAUAUACUACAACGGCUACCAACUAUUGGGUUCCUAUAUAUAUACGCAGUGGUGAGAGCGUUGCUACUCACUUGAGAUUGUUAAGUUCAAGUAAAAAUGUCUGGAGGGUCGUCUAGAGGGAAGGGAAAGGGAAAGGCGGCGAUGAAGGGUAAUCCCUUUCUUUGGGAGGGUCCUCUUGGUCCUAAAGACUUUGAGGAAGCAAUUUAUGAUAGGUUCCCCCUUGAGAGCAAACAUGAUUUUACUAAAGAGGCACCACUGAGGGCAUAUGAUGACCGAAAAGAAGAGUGGCCAAAAUGUAUGCAUGGUGAGGAUUGUUUGGUGCAGAUGUACACAGAGGGGAUAGAUGGAGGGCGUCGUUUCUUCAAAUGUCCACGAGCAUGGGUAAGUCAUAUUACUAAUUCAACCUUCAAUAAGAUACUCUCUUGUGCUAAAGCUACAUACUUAUUGCAGUCAUCCUUGUCAAAAGAGAACUGUGGCUUCACCAGAUGGGUCGAUCCUAGACCUAUUCAUCCCCAUGCAGAGUACAUCUACUACCUGCAGGACCGUAUCUUUGAUUUAGAAACGGAAGUUAGCUGUGGUUACAAUGACGACGAAGAGGGCGACAACAGCAAUGGUACUGGCUCCCAAAACACAAUAUGCAAUGAUCCAUACUGCACAUGCCCUAAUCACAAGAACAAGGGCCCUCCUUCACCACCACCCCCACCACCACCACCAACAACGGGAGGAUACUAUGGAGAAGGGGCAACACAGUUUGCUAUGUGGCCACACUACUAGGUAGAACUGAACUAAUUCACAGGCCACAUCCAUAUGUUUGUUGUUUGGUUUAAUCACCUAAGGCAUGUUAGGGUUAGUCGAAAGAACUAUGUACCUUUGUGUGGUAUAUGUUCUCACAUGCCAUUUCCUGUGCUUGUUAAUUGCUUGAAUUACCUAAGGCAUGUUAGGUUUAGUCUCAGACCUCUGCACCCUUGUUUGGUGCAUGUUUUGACAUGCCAUUCAAUGUGAUGUGUGCUACUAGUUAUGCAAUAUACUAGUUCGUUAACUUCUAUUUCAACUAAUUAUUCUCAUUUCAUUGCCUAUGCAAUACUCAAAUAAAAAUACUGUCUACUGAUAAUGAAACCAAAUUAAAAUUGCUAAAGUGCAUUACAUAACAACAAAUUGAAAAGUCCAACACAAGACAAUAUUAUCCAUGAACCAAACAAAGAACAAGAAGGUAAUGUAACUACUGAGUGCAACGAGGCCACUUUCCCUUCCUCUGGGCAUCUGGAUUCUCAUCCAUCGCUGCCUUCGCUCGGCGCACACGCUCAAGCUUCUUUUCCCUCUCCUCCCGAGCCGCAGCAACACGUCUUCUUUCCUCCUCUUCCUUGUGCUCCCGCUUUUGAGCCUCCUCUCUACGUCUCUUCUCUAAUAUCUCUGCACGCUCUGCAUCCCACUCCUUUAGGCCUUGUAGAAGCCGCUUGUCGGACUCCUUAAUCUCAGUGUCGAUCCACUGCUCAAAAUCACACAAUGGUGGAGGGGUCUGCAACAAAUAUAUUUGUUCAAAUAAUUAAAUCAUGCUGCAUAGGACACAAAUUAAUAAGUGCACAAUAGAAAAAAUAACUUACAAUAAAGUUACUGCGGCGUUGUUUUGGCGUAGGCUCCCAGGCAAAAUUCGAACACAUCCAAUACCUCUGCCGAUAGGUUUCCUCGUCUUCCGAAAUUUCUACCUUGCAAGGAUCACCACAAAAGCACAUAGGUACUGGAACACCGCUAGGAAGCGGCUUGUGGAUGUACGGACUCCCGGUCGUCCGGCCAUAGCUACAGUUCAAAGAAUUCAAUUCUAAGAAAUCAUAGCAAAUAACGAUUGAACCGAAAACUACAAUUUACCGAAUGAUAAAUAAUAACGAAUGAAAUUUAUCGAAACAUGUCGAAAGGUUACCUUGGUUUGCUACUUUUUCCACGACGUGGCAUUCUACGAUUGCAUAAGAAAAAUAUUAAUCAUCCAUUCAAAAAACUAUAAAUGGUUUAUCUAAGUCUACAACAUACGUGUAAUAUAGGUCAUAUGAAUGAGUCAAAAACUAAUAUUUGAAAGAGUAUACCUGGCUCUUCAAGAUCUAUGGAACAAAUCAAACUUUUGAUGGUCCAAAUAUUGAAUCCAAAUUCGUGCUCGGUUUUUGGAGAGAAAAAGCCGAGAGGGGAGAUGAAAAUAUGAACUGCGUCCACAGGUAGCGAAGUGCGUCGGCCAAUUUGUAGCAGGGAGCUCGGCGCCGUGAUCUGUGGCGCCGAGCUCGGCGCCGUGAUCUGUGGCGCCGAGCUCGGCGCCGUGAUUUGUGGCGCCGAGCUCCCUGCCACGUCAGAUCCACGUCACAAGGCAGCCAGGUACCUCGGCGCCGUGAUCCAUGGCGCUGAGACGUGAAACCUCGGCGCCAUGAUGCAUGGCGCCGACCCCCUGGGUCCAUUUCUGCAUUUAAGUUUUCCAAGGGUCCAAUAGUGAACUUUUUUCAAAAAAAGGACCAAAUUGUAAAAAAUUAGGGCGGGGCGCGAGGAUUGAGCGAUUUUGUUUCCUUUUUCGGGCGGAAGAGAGAGCCGGGCGGGAUGACAUCGCCGGAGGCAGGACGAAAGCGAGAGGGGAGAAUGUCGCACUAAAAGUUUGUCCAUCUUUUAGUCUUUUUAGUUGUAUAUGUAGGAGAUAUAUAUUCAGGCGAGAGUCAAAAGGAGAGGCAGGUCUACCUUCAGCACUCUCGCUUUUUCGGAUUAAGUCCACUUUUAGCCCCUCAACUAUUGGCCGAGUUUAAUUUUAACCCUCAACUAUAAAACCGUCUGUUUCUCACCCUUAACUAUCAAAACCGGUCACUUUUAGCACCCGGAGAGAGGACAGGGCGGUUUUGAGCCACUUUGAGCGGUUUUUCUUUUUUCUUUUCUAUGGUUAAACCUGUGAAUUUCAUAGUGAAUUGUUUGAGCAUGGUAAAUUCAUCAAAUUUUUUGGGUAGCGUUGUCAUGAUGUUCUCUAUGCAUAAAAAAUGUGAAACUAUGAAAGUAAGUAUUUUUUGAUUGCUAAAAAAUUAGCUCUUUUAAUUAAUAAAUACAUGUUCUAUGAUUUUUGUAGGAUAAUAUAUACAUUCUAUGAUCAUGAAACUUUUUGUGUAACUGUUUUAUACUAAGAUAGACCUUAAAAAAAGUUUAGGAUUAAUUUAAUGAUGUUUGCUUGUGUCCCUCAUUUAUAUGUAAUUAAUAAAGCAUAUAAAUUAGGGAUAUAAGCAAACAUCAUCAAAUUAAUCUCAAACUUUUUAUGAAGGUCUAUAUUAGUAUAAAACAGUUAUGCAAAAAGUUUCAUGAUCAUAGGAUAUAUAUAUUAUCCUAUAAAAAUUAUAGAACAUGUAUUUAUUAAUUAAAAGAGCUAAUUUUUUAGCAUCCAAAAAAUACUUACUUUCAUAGUUUCAAAUUUGUUCUGCAUAGAGAACAUCAUGACAAGGCUACCCAAAAAAUUUGAUGAAUUUAUGAUGCUCAAACAAUUCACUAUGAAAUUCACAGGUUUAACCAUAGAAAAGAAAAAGAGAAAACCGCUCAAAGUGGCUCAAAACCGCCCUUGUCCUCUCUCCAGGUGCUAAAAGUGACCGGUUUUGAUAGUUGAUGGUGAAAAACAGACGGUUUUGUAGUUGAGGGAUAAAAUUAAACUCGGCCAAUAGUUGAGGGGCUAAAAGUAGACUUAAUCCCGCUUUUUAUGAAGUGCUUGAUGAGCAGGAAAUGCGUACGUACUGAAUAGGAUAAUAUUAAAUCCACUACUUGCAACUUAAAAAAUGACAAGUGUGCUGGAGGAAAAUAAUGACAAGUGUCGGCUCAUGGCUUGUCAGCCGAAUAAAGUCUUAUUUUUAAGAAAAAAUUUAAGUGUUUAAACUUCAAAUCAAAAACAUCACUUUCACUUCACAUGGCAAAAUAAAGAACAACAGAGAAUUAUAUGAAAAUGAUAUAUAUAUAUAUAUAUAUAUAUAUAUAUAUAUAUAUAUCAAAAUGCGCUGAUGUGCAAUGCUGCCUCAUUAAAAACCUUUCAAGGUAUCACCUUGGCGAGCGGCCAGGGAGCGAGCAUCCAAGCACGAGAGAGAACGAACGAGACAACACCGUUAGACCGACGGCGAGCGGCGGCGGAAGAAUAGACAGGACAACGACUCACAUGGUACACCGAAGGAGGAGUAGGGAAGGGAAAGGAGGUAGGAGAGGGAGGGCGAGGUCACCGGAACAGAGCUGGUCCGACGAGCUCAGUCGAGCAGGCGACCGACGGCAGAUCGGAUCGGAUCAGAGCGAGACGAAGACGAAGACGAGCGAGGCGAGCUACGACGGCGGGGUGGGAGGAUUGGAUUAGGGUUAGGGAUUUGGGGGUGGGGGGGCUACCGACUGACAGUGUUAUAUAAUGCGGCGCCCGAUGUAGGCUGUGGGUUGGGCGCCUGGGCCAGCCAUUGGAGGAGACAAGGAGCACAGGAGCGGCCAUGCUGGCCUUUUGGCUGUGUCGUGCCUGUGCCGUGUCAUGGGCCAGGCACACAGCCCAUGCACUGCACAGGGCACCGGGCCGUGCUACCACGGGUAUGCCAACCAUCGUGCCGUGCCACCCGUGGGCCAUGCCAAAAGGCCAUGUCGUGCCAUGCCGCCGGCACAUGGGCCGCAUGGCCAUAUAUAUGCCUUGCAUUGCAUGUUCACACGGAUAGAUAUAUACAAAUAUUAUGCUGCAGCUUGGGCGCAUGCAUCUACGUUGUAGAAAGGACUGUUAACUGAUUUGUUUCGAGAGAAAAAACACUGCUAAAUGGUUGAUAGAUUCGGAUGAUAAGCUCAAACUAGCAGGCUAUUUAUUCGUGCAACGCUGACCCAUGCAUCAUAUUCGCUUGAGCUUAUCUACCGAAUCUGUCGGUCAUUCAACAGUGUUUUUCUUAGUACUUUCAGUCAUGGCUUAUCAGCCAAGUGAAUAGAGUGGCAGGCAGCUUCCAGUGUCGCACCUAGCACUGAGGUCUCACUGCUGGCCCGUGCGAGCGAGCAAUGAGUUCAAAUAAUGCCAUUGCUACAUGUUAGUAUUAGGAUAACAUUCAUUCCAGCAAGAUCAUUGUUGUUGAAGGAUGCAAAUGCAAUGAAAACUCAACCGGACAGGUGGUGAGCAGGGGCGCCACUAUAGGAAUCGCCAUCUUUGUUGAGUGGCAAAAGUCAGGCACUCGACAAAGAGCCACUUUGCAGAGUGCCAGACCUAACACUCGGCAAAGAACUAACACUCGGCAAAGAGCCACUUUGCCGAGUUCUUUGCCGAGUGCCUGACUCUUGCCAAAGUCAGACACUCGGGAAAUAAGUUCUUUGCCGAGUGCCCGGCGCCGGCACUCGACAAAGAGUGUUAGGGUCAAACAGCAUCCAUGGCCGUCAACUUUGCCGAGUGCCCGUCGUCACGCACUCGGCAAAGAGCUACCACGUGGCAGGCUCAGGUGUUGUCAGGCCAGCUCGCCUUUGCCGAGUGCCACGUGACAUGCACUCGACAAAGGACUCCUUUAUCGAGUGCCUGUCACGUUAGCACUUGGCAAAGAACACUUCAGAUGACGGUGACAUGUGGCAUUCGGCAAAGAAUUCUUUGCCAACAAAUUCUUUGUCGGGUGCCCUUUAAGGCUUUGCCGAGUGCGGCCUGCACUCGGCAAAGAAACCUAAUCCUAUAGUGCACUAGUGCGCCACAGCCUCCACUAUCGUUGCACUACCACUGUUGCACAUUAGGGAAUGUACAGCCUGCUUUGAGAACCCGUCUGUAUGAUGUAAUCAAAGGAGGGUCGUCAAAUUUAGCACAAUUCAUACGGCAUCAUUCCAUCGCGCCGAACAAAAACACCGCCCACACACAACGCAACCUCCAGCCCUUGGGGCACCGGAUCCAGUGUCCUAGGCCGCCACAGCCUCCAACAUCAUGGCCACCGGCACGCUACUGGUAGCAGCGAGGAAGGCGGCCACCUUGCUGACCUGCCACUUGCCUCUCCGUGCAACCAACCAGUGGCGAAGCUAGAGCAAAUAAAAGGUGGUGCAUUUCUCUUAAAAAAACAUAAACUAUAGCUAUAAUCAUGGUGAAAAAUUGAUUUACUUAAUGGUGUUUAAUUUUUUUGUGGGUGCAUGUGCACCCACUGCCUUGUAUGUAGCUUCGCCACUGCAACCAACUGUUGCAACAUGACACCCAUCGGAGCUCUGCACACAUCCUCCCAUGGGAGUGCCGGAUCUGGCCAUCGGGACGCUGAAUCCGCACCGGCGCUGCCGUUGUCAACGAGCUUGGCGAUUCUCGAGCAGCUACAGUAGACCACAGCUUGGGAAGAAGCCCUGCCACUGCCUUCCUUGCGCCCGCACAAGCUUCCGGUGGCGCGCUCUGGCGGCGGCGAGGAAGAGGAGGCCAGGAGAGGUGGUGGAGGCACCGGGCGGUGGUUCUGCCCGUGCUGCCCCGAGGGACGACGUGGGCAACUGAGAUUGGUAUAAGCAAUGUGGAAAAGAUUUAAGCUUGUUAUUACUAGCAGGGGGUGGCUGUGCUCUUAUGUUAGUCCUUAUGGCUCAGUAAAAAUGUUAGUGUUUUUGACAAAUGUAGUCUGAAGAUAUUUUUGCAUGUCUAUUUAAGGGGAACACAUUGGUUUCGGUUUUGGGGUCAGUUGCAACAAAGUGAAGAAAAGAAACAAUACAUCUACAAGGCUUGUGAGACAGAAGACAUGAGAUUUAGCCUUUUUCCCUCCUAUAAGGAUGACCCGUUAUGUCUAGGUUUGUUUGAACUGAAUUUUUCUCAAUUUUGUGAGUCUACUUAAAGCAUGAGUGUGAAAACUUGUUAGUAAAUAUGUAGUCUGAAAUCCUCCAUUAUGGGCAAGGAUGAAACCAGAUAUUUCUUCCAUUAUUAUUUUUUAAAAAAUAGGAAUAUAAUUAUUCCUGAAUAAGGUGUUGCCAUUGCAAAAGUUGACGCGCUGCAUUGUUGUAUAGAACAAAUUAAAGAGAGAAGCAGAGCCAAGAGUGUUUGACCGACUCUGAGCCUUUGGUGAAGUGUCAGGCCUUGUUUAGUUUCCAAAAAAAUUCAAGAUUCUAUAUAAUAUCGAAUCUUUGGACGUACGUAUGGAGCAUUAAAUAUAGAUAAAAGAAAAAAUUAAUUGUACAGCUUGUCUGUAAUUUGCGAGACGAAUCUUUUAAGCCUAGUUAGUCCAUAAUUAGAUAAUAAUUAUUAAAUACAAACAAAAUGCUACAGUAGCCAAAACUAAAAAUUUUCCUCACAAGGCCUCGAAUAAAAAAAAAGAAGAAGAGGACUUUGAGCUGGAAACGCGUGCCUAGAAAGAGCAUAGUAGUAGCCAUUGUGCAAGUUUGCAUGCCGACCUGCCGAGCAGGGGUUGCCAGCACUCGGAGAAAAACUGUGUUCUUCCAAGAAUGGUUCAUGAGUCCAUGACACACGAUGGAGGGGCCCAACAAACGAAGAGGAACCAUCCGGGAAGCUGCCGUGGAGUUGUCAUGCACGUACCGCUGCUUUCGGGAUGGCGCAACUACCGUGUGCACUGGCUAGGCCUUGUUUAGUUGGCAGAAAUUUUCGUUUUUAGCUACUGUAGCACUUUCGUUUUUAUUUGUCAAACAUUAUCCAAUCACGGAGAGCAACUCCAACAGUUUGGCAAAUGCACUUGGCAAAUUGAGAUUUUUGGCAAAACUACAAAAAAGCUCCUCCAACAAGUUGGCAAAAUCACUUGGCAAAAAUUCAAGGUUGGCAAAUUCUUCCCCAACCGGCGCAUAUAUGCGCGCUUCGUUGGACUUGGCAAAUCGCGGUUUUCGGCCCGUGGCCGGUUCUCCCGCGCGCGAACUGUGAAACUUAGGCCUUGUUUAGUUCCGAAAAGUGAAAAGUUUUCGGUACUGUAGCACUUUCGUUUGUUUGUGACAAAUAUUAUUCAAUCAUGGACUAACUAGGAUCAAAAGAUUUGUCUCGUGAUUUACAGCUAAACUGUGUAAUUAGUUUUUGUUUUUGUCUAUAUUUAAUGUUUCAUGUAUGUGUCAUAAAAUUCGAUGUGACGGGAAAUCUUGAAAAUUUUUUGGUUUUCAGGGUGAACUAAACAAGGCAUCAGGUGCUGACAGCGACGUGUUCACCAGCUGCUGCUUUUUGUUUUGUUCACUGCCAAACAACGACAGCGUGUGGCCAGCAAAUCGACAGCAGCAGCUGACAUGCUGAUCUCCUCUAAUAUGAAUGACACAGCAACACGCAAGUGGUAAGCUCAAACUGAUUCCAUAUAAUUUAAAAACAACUCAAGCUCAACUCAAGCUUUAGUCUCAUACAUGGUACUACCUGCAUAUAAUUUAAAAACAACUCAAACGUAGUCUCAUACAUGGUACUACUUGCAUAUAAUUUGAAAACAAAUCAAACUUAGUCUCAUACAUGAAAGACUCCUCAAAUUUGGUAGCUAUAUAAAUCGGGGUGAUUGUUCCAGAGGUGCUCAAUGAGGUCUUCUUUGAGUUGGACAUGUGUUUCGGGGUCUCUGAUUUCUUUGUGCGCUUCAAUAAAUUCUUGUAAUGUCCGCGUGGGCUGGCCAUGUACGAUGGACUGAGCAACGACGACGAAGUGAAACGGCACGGCAACGGCCCAAAUAAUUCAUACAUGUGGGCCACGAAAUUUUAAUUUGCCAACUCCAAAUAGCUCACUGUUGGAGAGGCCUCUUUUUUCCACUUGGCAUUUGGGAUUUAGACUUGGCAAAAAUAGAGAUUUGCCAAGUGUAAUUUGUCAAACUGUUGGAGUUGCUCUAUGACUCAAAAGAUUCAUCUCAUAAAUUACAGAUAAACUGUGCAAUUAGUUUAUAUUUUCAUCUAUAUUUAAUACUCCAUGCAUAUGACCAAAAAUUUAAUGUGACGGGAAAUCUUGAAAAUUUUUGCGAACUAAACAAGGCCUCAGGAUAAAAUCAUGCAAGGGAAGAAAACGCAUCAUGCAUUACUCGCAAGCAGGCCAUGUUAACUGUACAGUAUAUAACUAUAUAUAGAACAAAGCGUUUGUCCUUCUGAAAUCUGAUUUUUUUCCUUCAUAUGUAAAGAAAAAACCAAACAAAACGCUGCAUGCUCUGAUAGAAACGCUGGCUGGGUCUGUCUGACCGACCAGAGUUCGUGCACUUCACCAACCCCCCAUCCAUCCCCCCAUGGAGAGAAUAAAACAGUGCAGUUCACCAAUUCACUUCUUCACAUCAAGGAAGUUUGCAGCAGCUCGCUGGAGUACAGGCAGGAUGGAAGCAGUGAGCAGCAAGUAGAUAACGCACUUCUUCAUGGGAAAGCAGAGGUUGAGGAUGCCCCAAUUGCCUUUUUGUUUUGGGCUGCUUCCUUGAUACAUCAACUCCUGAAAUCGUCCUCCACAGGUACCUGAAACGUGUCCAUCCACGUUUUCACCCAUGCAGGUCGUUCAUCUUGACUAAUAGGCUACUCAAGGACUGGCAACUGUGCCAAGUGCACUUGACCUGAGUACUCAGAAGUAACUCAAAAUAUUCAAGAAAUUGAACAGUACAAGAGUUUGUCUGUGUUUUUUUACAUCUCCAUCAGCAGCAGCCAAAUUAUUAAACCAAACCAAAUUUUAACUCCUUGUGCUGCUUGCAUAUUGAACUACAUGAUAUUAGUAUUUUGCUAAACAAGACGACUGCUCAGUAUUCCUGCUUUUCCCUUUAGUGGCAUCACCGCGCAUAUCUGUGUCAACUUUUUGGGGAGGGUGUUCAACUGAAAAAUUAAUAAAAUCACAGAGGCUUCAAGAACAGCACACAACUGUAGCUUGUGAGGCACACAAAAGCACAAAUGGUACCAUGCCCUCCAGACCCAAAUGAUUAAAUGAAUGAAACUGGAUCAUGCAAUACAAACAAGAACCUCUCCUUAGCUCUAGAAAACCAUGAAUCAACACAAAUGGUCGAUGGACCAGAUCUACCUCAAACUAGAGUUCAAAUUAUCCAACUCAUACAUGCAUCUGGCAACCGGGCCUUGUUUAGUUCGUGAAAAGAAAAGUUUUUGGAUACUAUAGCACAUUUGUAACUAUAGCAAUUAGUGUCCAAUUAUGGACUAAUUAGGGUUAAAAGAUUCGUCUUGUAAAAUACAUGCAAAAUGUGUAAUUAGUUAUUUUUUAAUCUAUAUUUUAUACUCCCUCCAUACUUGAAUUACUUGUCGUUCUGGCCUUCUGCAACGUUCUCGUAAAAGAUGUCGCUGUGCAUUCGCAGCAUUAGUUUGGACGCAAAUGCCCCCGUCCCUCCACCUUUUGACUUCACGACCAUCAAAAAAAGUAUGCUGGCGGGGAUUCGAACCGUCAACAUCCAGCGUUGAAGACAGAGAACCAGCCAAUUGAGCUAUGCAACAUUGUUAUAAAGGUAACACCUGUAGCGUUAUUUAAUAGGGGCAAAGAAGGAAAAAUACCCUAUAAUUAAUUACUCCUUGGUAAGCACAAUCAUGUCCUAAACGUCAACUAAAUCAGGUAUGGAGGGAGUACUCCAUACAUGUGUCCAAACAAUGCUAUGUUUCACUAUACGUAUACCAAGUAAACAUGCAUACAUUAGGAUAAAUAUUUAUUUAAUAACUUAUCAAGCAUGUAAAAAUAUUUCCUUAACAAACCACAAAGCAUCUAUUAUGCUUGUGGCUGUUCCCCCUUUGCUAAUAUGCUCUAUCUUCUGUCAUUGCGAAGGAGGCCUCAGCUCUUGUGUUGGGCACUCGGCAGGCACUGCCCUUGCUUCAUCUCUGCAGCAAGCAUCGAUUAGCCUUGCCCUGCUCACCUGCAGAGGCUGGAGGGCCUGCAGCAACGAGAGCACCGAUACCUGAUCGGACCCUGUGCGCUGGCUGUCAUGUCUCUCCCUCCCUCCGACGAGAUCGAUGGGGACGAGAAUAUUAUCAGGAGUUCCCUCUGUUCCGGCUUCAAGCUGCAGAGGAGUGUACCGGAACGGAAAGUUCCCUCGUCCCUACUCACCGGAGACUGCAUCGAAUUUAUAUAUUUUUACUUUUAGGUGCCCAACUCAACUCAUGUAACUUCUGUGCCUUGUGACAAACCUGUACUGUAAAAUGUGGCAUUAAAGCAUGCAUUCGAUCUCCACCAUAGGACAUAUAUAGCAGCAAGCAAGAUGCAGUGCACAACACCAUCAUGAGAAGCGUCCUCCAGCACAAGAAAUUUUACGGUUUCAAACCGUCACAAAUGCUUUUCAAAAUCAUCACAUCUGUGCAUCUGCCUGCCUUCUUAUUCUUAUGCCCAGUACAAGCAGCCAUGGUGCUGAAACUCUCUCUACCUUGUGGUGACUGGUGAGUCACACACACACAAACACACACCUGUAUUCUGAUUAGGACAGGCCAUGCAACUAGCAAACCACAGUCAGUAUAUAUCAAACAAUUUUCCAUCUUUUUUUUGAGAGAACUGGAGGGGCUUUCGCCCCUACAGGUAAUUUAUUAAAAGGAAAAGACAGUACAACUAUAGAAACACAUACGUACAAUAAAAACAGAGAAAACAACAGGAUCCACUCAGGGAACCUUAAAAGAAACAAAAAAACACAGCAGAAAGAGACUACCAGCUAACCAGCUACCAGCUAAGCAACAGAGAAAAGCCAUUGAAGAAACGAAUGUUCAGAUCUUGAAUUUACUCUGAACUUGAGCACUUUGAGCUCCUUGAUAAAGCUGGUCCUGCUAGAAGAGACUUGGGGCUGAAUGUUGUCAAAAAUGAAAGCAUUCCUGGUAGUCCAAAUUGCCCAGCAUAAGAGAAUUAUAGACUCCAUGAAGAACCGAGAACCAAUUGCAUCUUUUAGGAAGUGCAUACUAGAAGGCAUUUCUGCAACUGCUGGAAUAUCCACACCUAUUGACUGCCAACAUUGCUUGGCAAAUUCGCACUGAAGGAACAGGUGAUGGACUGUUCCUUCGAUACCCAGAUUACAUAGAACACAACUGUAUGAUUGUAAAAGUUGUAUGAUUGUAAAGCCAUGUUUUUCUGUCUCAAAAUAUUCCUUGUGCUGAGCCUAUCUUUCAAGAGCAGCCAAAAGAAAACCUUAUGCUUUGGCUGACAAAAGCAGUUCCAUAUCCACUGUAUGGACUGAUGGUGGUGGGACUGUCCCUUGAUGAACUUGUAUGCCCUUGACGAAGAGAAGUGCUGGCCCCACUGAUAUUUCCAUUUGUCGUUAUUCUCAUUCAGGUUGAAGAAAUCCCUCUCUUGAUGAAGUGCUUGUAACUGAUUAAAAGCUAUUUCUGACAGAGGCAAGUUUAACAGAUGUGUGAAGUCCUCUUGUACCCAUGCUUUUGCCACUGAUAUUGCCUUUGUUUUUGCAAAGGAGCAUAAUUCUGGGAAUCUUAUUUCCAAGCUCUGUUGAUUCCAACUAUCCACCCAGAACAGACAUGUCUCACCGGAGUUUACUUGAAUUUGAACCACCUAUUUGUAAUGCUGUAAGUUUUUCUGGUUGUCUCUCCACAAAAAUGAUCCUUUCUUGGAAACACCUGGUAAUUUGCCAUUUGGAUAGUGCUUCUCCCAAACAAUCUGUACCCAAGGUAUGUCUUCCUUAUUGAAAAAUUUAUGCAGAUUUUUCAUUAGAAGUGCUUUGUUUUGUUUCUCAAUGUCUAUUACUCCUAGUCCUCCUUCCUGUUUUCCAAUACAGACCAUUUCCCAAGCUGCUUUUGGCUUCCCUCUUCCAUUGAUGUCUGAUCCCCUCCAAAGGCAAUUUUUUCUAUAUUUAUCAAUUUGCUUGAUUACUGUUUUUGGGAGUUCCAACGAGCACAUGUAGAAUGUGGGUAGAGCUGAAAAAACUGCAUUUGUUAGCUCUAACCUUCCAGCCUGAGUUAGAAAAUUGGAUACACUUAACAAUCUUCUCUCACAUUUACUGACCAGAGGUGGUUAAACCCAAAGGCAAACCCAAAUAAGUGAAUGGUAAAGUCCCCUUGGAGCAGCCAAAAGUUCUAGAUAAGUGAUCAAGUCUUUCCUCAGACAAGUUGACUGGUAACAUCAUGGAUUUUCUAUAGUUUACCUUCAGGCCAGUACAAUUGGCAAAGGUGUUAAGCAGAGAUUUAAGAAACAUUAACUGUCUUGAGUCUGUCUCCAUGAUUAUCAAGGUAUCAUCAGCGUAUUGCACUAUGGGGAAGUCCAGAUUAGAAUUUAAGGGAAAGGGCAAUCUUAGCAGACCUAAAUCCUUCCCUUUAUUGACCAAAGACUGAAGGAAAUCUGCUGCCAGGACAAAUAAUAAGGGGGAUAAGGGAUCCCCUUGUCUGACUCCCCUUUUGCAAUUAAAAGUCUUCCCUGGCACCCCAUUCAGUAAAACUGCAGAAGUAUCGGACUCAAAGAUUUUUCUCAUCCAUUUUAUCCAUAACUGGCCAAACCCCUUGGCCUGCAUUAGGAUUAUCAUUGCUUCAUGUUCUAUUUUGAUAUACACACAACGAAAUUGCAUAGACACAGACGAGCGUCAUGUGAAUUGUGACUGACGAGAUGACGAGCUGGCCCAUCAUGUUGAUUGAACAACAGACCACAAACGUCUGUUCUUCUGGAAUCUGAAAUUCCAUACUCCUAUGUGACAAAGAUCAAAGCAUUGCACUACACAGGCGCGCAGAGAAUUCUUCAUAUCAUUUGAAGCCAAUUGAGGACACCUAGCUCCCAGGUGCAGUGGGCCUACAAUGCAAUAAUAGGGAAAUCCAUAAAUGUCAAAACUACAUUCUCAUCCAAAGUAUUCAAGAAAUCAAACCGAAUUUUAAACAAUAAUAAGGAAAUUGGCUCUCUAGUGAAUGUACACAUGAAAACAGGGGGACUGCCCAUAGCUACAGCUACAAAUAGCACAACAAACUCACCCGAUUAAGCGGCAGCUUGCAAUCGCUGGCCAAAUCCUCCCCACACGGCCACACCCCGUUCAUCCGUCUGAUUCUGAACCAAUGAAGAUAUCAGGGAUGUGGGAGAUGAGGUGCCAGUCCUCCCCUGUUCCUCUCUUGCAGCGCCUCUCCAGGUCGGGGCAGAACAAGAUCGCCAAUAGAUUCAGAGACGUGAGGUCCUUUAUCCCCUCCGGCAAGGAUUUGAUGCCCGGGCAUGCGUAGAUUCUGAGCUCUUGAAGAGAGGUGGUGAGGCGGCAGAUGGAUUGUGGAAGGCAGGUCAGCUCUCGCAAGUCUGUAAUCUCGAGUUUGCGUAGAGAGCAGAGUUCUCCGAGGCAGUCGGGCAACUGUUGAACUGCAUCGCAAUAUCCUAUCUCGAGCAACUGGAGGGAUGUGAGUUGACCCAUUGUUUGGGGGAGGCUGGUCAGGCUAUGGCAGUGAUUGAUUUUCAACUCUUGCAGACACCGGAGUUCCCCUAGCGACUCGGGUAACUGGUGAAGUGCUUCGCAUGAUUGUAUUACGAGCUUCUGGAGGGAUGUGAGUUGACCCAUUGUUUGGGGGAGGCUGGUCAGUCUAUCGCACCUGUCGAUGAUCAACUCUUGCAGAGACCGGAGUUCCCCUAGCGACUCGGGUAGCUCGCAGAUAUCAUCCCAGUCAUGCAGGCUCAGGGACCUCAGGGAUGUGAGGCUCCA